GACGAACGCUGGCGGCGUGCUUAACACAUGCAAGUCGAACGGAAAGGCCUCUUUCGGGGGGUACUCGAGUGGCGAACGGGUGAGUAACACGUGAGUAACCUGCCCUUGACUUUGGGAUAACUUCAGGAAACUGGGGCUAAUACCGGAUAGGAGCUCCUGCUGCAUGGUGGGGGUUGGAAAGUUUCGGCGGUUGGGGAUGGACUCGCGGCUUAUCAGCUUGUUGGUGGGGUAGUGGCUUACCAAGGCUUUGACGGGUAGCCGGCCUGAGAGGGUGACCGGCCACAUUGGGACUGAGAUACGGCCCAGACUCCUACGGGAGGCAGCAGUGGGGAAUAUUGCACAAUGGGUGGAAGCCUGAUGCAGUAACGCCGUGUGCGGGAUGACGGCCUUCGGGUUGUAAACCGCUUUCGCUCAUGACGAAGCUUUGUGUGACGGUAGUGGGUAAAGAAGCACCGGCUAACUACGUG
rnacentral:rRNA from 1 species